ensembl:misc_RNA Metazoa_SRP Metazoan signal recognition particle RNA
GCCGGGCAUGGUGGCACAUGCCUGUAGUCCUGGCUACUUGGGAGGCUGAGGUGGGAGGAUCCCUUGAGCCCAGGAGUUUGAGGUUGCACUGAGCUAUGACUGUGCCACUGUACUUCAACCUGGGCGACAGGGUGAGACCCUGUCUCUU